rnacentral:rRNA from 1 species
UGGGGAAUAUUGGACAAUGGGGGGAACCCUGAUCCAGCCAUGCCGCGUGUGUGAAGAAGGCCUUAUGGUUGUAAAGCACUUUAAGCGAGGAGGAGGGUACUGGUAUUAAUACUACCAGGUACUGGACGUUACUCGCAGAAUAAGCACCGGCUAACUCUGUGCCAGCAGCCGCGGUAAUACAGAGGGUGCGAGCGUUAAUCGGAUUUACUGGGCGUAAAGCGUGCGUAGGCGGCUAAUUGAGUCGGAUGUGAAAUCCCCGAGCUUAACUUGGGAAUUGCAUUAGAUACUGGUUAGCUAGAGUGUGGGAGAGGAUGGUAGAAUUACAGGUGUAGCGGUGAAAUGCGUAGAGAUCUGGAGGAAUAACGAUGGCGAAGGCAGCCAUCUGGCCUAACACUGACGCUGAGGUACGAAAGCAUGGGGAGCAAACAGG